UACGGAGGGUGCAAGCGUUGUUCGGAAUUACUGGGCGUAAAGAGCGUGUAGGCGGUCGAUUAAGUCAGGUGUGAAAGCCCUUGGCUCAACCAAGGAAGUGCAUCUGAAACUGAUCGACUUGAGUACGGGAGAGGAGAGUGGAAUUCCUGGUGUAGAGGUGAAAUUCGUAGAUAUCAGGAGGAACACCGGUGGCGAAGGCGACUCUCUGGACCGAUACUGACGCUGAGACGCGAAAGCGUGGGGAGCAAACAGG
rnacentral:rRNA from 1 species